UACGGGGGGGGCGAAGCGUUGUUCGGAAUUACUGGGCGUAAAGGGCUCGUAGGUGCCAACUAAGGUCAGACGUGAAAUCCCCAGGCUCAACUUGGGAACUCGCGUCUGAUACUGGUUGGCUUGAAUUCGGGAGAGGGAUGCAGGAAUUCCAGGUGUAGCGGUGAAAUGACGUAGAUAUCUGGAGGAAUACCGGUGGCGAAGGCGGCAAUCCUGGACCGAUAUUGACACUGAGAGCGAAAGCCAGGGGAGCAAACGGGAGU
rnacentral:rRNA from 1 species